rnacentral:rRNA from 1 species
GAGGGGUGCAAGCGUUAUUCGGAAUCAUUGGGGCGUAAAGAGUGUGUAGACGGCGCAUUAAGUCAACUGUUAAAUUCUCCGGCCUAACUGGGAGGGUCAGCGGGUAGAAACUGGUGUGCUAGAGGAUGGAAGAGAGAAGUGGAAUUCUCGGAGUAGCGGUAAAAUGCGUAGAUCUCGAGAGGAACACCGAUGGCGAAGGCAGCUUCUUGGUCCAUUCCUGACGUUGAGACACGAAAGCGUGGGGAGCAAACAGGAUUAGAUACCCUGGUAGUCCACGCCGUAAACGAUGAUCACUAGACGUCAGCUCUGUUUUGCAGAGUUGGUGUCGCAGCUAACGCGUUAAGUGAUCCGCCUGGGGAGUACGAUCGCAAAGAUUAA